rnacentral:piRNA from 1 species
UGCUGCCAGAUAGAAGUUCACCU